GGUUGACCUCGGAUCAGGUAGGGAUACCCGCUGAACUUAAGCAUAUCAAUAAGCGGAGGAAAAGAAACCAACCGGGAUCGCCUCAGUAACGGCGAGUGAAGCGGCAACAGCUCAAAUUUGAAAUCUGGCCCCCUGAGGGGUCCGCGUUGUAAUUUGUAGAGGAUGCUUCGGGCAAGGCCGCGGUCUAAUUCGCUUGGAACAGCGGGUCAGAGAGGGGUGAGAGUCCCGUCUAGGGCCGCGCGCCGCGUCCAUGUGAAGCUCCUUCGACGAGUCGAGUUGUUUGGGAAUGCAGCUCUAAAUGGGUGGUAAAUUUCAUCUAAAGCUAAAUAUUGGCCAGAGACCGAUAGCGCACAAGUAGAGUGAUCGAAAGAUGAAAAGCACUUUGAAAAGAGAGUUAAACAGUAUGUGAAAUUGUUGAAAGGGAAGCGCUUGCAACCAGACUUGCGAGUGACGGUUCCCCCGGCCUCCUGGCCGGGCUACUCCGUCACCUCCAGGCCAGCAUCGGUUCGGGUGGUCGGUCAAAGACCCCGGGAAUGUAUCCACCUCCGGGUUGACUUAUAGCCCGGGGUGCAAUGCGGCCCACCCGGACCGAGGAACGCGCUCCGGCUCGGAUGCUGGCGUAAUGGUUGUAAGCGGCCCGUCUUGAAACACGGACCAAGGAGUCUAACAUCUAUGCGAGUGUUUGGGUGUCAAACCCCUACGCGGAAUGAAAGUGAACGGAGGUAAGAACCCUUCGGGGCGCAUUAUCGACCGAUCCUGAUGUCUUCAGAUGGAUUUGAGUAAGAGCAUAGCUGUUGGGACCCGAAAGAUGGUGAACUAUGCCUGAAUAGGGUGAAGCCAGAGGAAACUCUGGUGGAGGCUCGCAGCGGUUCUGACGUGCAAAUCGAUCGUCAAAUUUGGGCAUAGGGGCGAAAGACCAAUCGAACCAUCCGCAUGGCAUCUUGUGAAGAAACAAACGUGUGAGAUAUAUUAUCGGUAUAUCUUUAAGCGUUGCCAGGUGGUUGAUUUCCCAACUUUGAGUUGGGUCAGUCUGAUACUAGGUAUUGGGCGACGUCGUCAGUCUCCGGGGAUGUCCUUAUGGCUAUCCGAAGCCGUCCUUAAGCUUAGGACGGUUCACAGACUAGACAGCGACGGCCGGAGCCUUUUUGACCGGGCACGGUGAUUAUAUAGUCGAGUAAAGUUAUCGGAUCUCGCGAGUAUUUUUAGCAGAAUAUUCGGUAGACUGUACGCCUUGUGAGGCUUGUGAGGCUUGUGAGGCUUGUAGGCUUCUUUGAGGCUGGUCUUGCGAGAAUUCGGUAGCUUUUGAACGCUGGUAGCUGGUUCCUGUCGAAGUUUCCCUCAGGAUAGCAGUAACGUUUUCAGUUUUAUGAGGUAAAGCGAAUGAUUAGAGGCCUUGGGGUUGAAACAACCUUAACCUAUUCUCAAACUUUAAAUAUGUAAGAAGUCCUUGUUUCUUAACUGAACGUGGACAUUUGAAUGUACCGUUACUAGUGGGCCAUUUUUGGUAAGCAGAACUGGCGAUGCGGGAUGAACCGAACGUGAGGUUAAGGUGCCGGAAUGUACGCUCAUCAGACACCACAAAAGGUGUCAAUGCAUCCAGACAGCCGGACGGUGGCCAUGGAAGUCGGAAUCCGCUUAGGAGUGUGUAACAACUCACCGGCCGAAUGCAUUGGCCCUGAAAAUGGAUGGCGCUUAAGCGUGCUACCUAUACCUCGCCGUU
rnacentral:rRNA from 1 species